UACGUAGGGGGCAAGCGUUGUCCGGAAUUAUUGGGCGUAAAGAGCUCGUAGGCGGUCUGUCGCGUCGGAUGUGAAAACUCGGGGCUCAACCCCGGGCCUGCAUUCGAUACGGGCAGACUAGAGUUCGGCAGGGGAGACUGGAAUUCCUGGUGUAGCGGUGAAAUGCGCAGAUAUCAGGAGGAACACCGAUGGCGAAGGCAGGUCUCUGGGCCACUACUGACGCUGAGAAGCGAAAGCAUGGGGAGCGAACAGG
rnacentral:rRNA from 1 species